AUUGAACGCUGGCGGCAGGCCUAACACAUGCAAGUCGAGCGGUAGAGAGGUGCUUGCAUCUCUUGAGAGCGGCGGACGGGUGAGUAAUGCCUAGGAAUCUGCCUAGUGGUGGGGGAUAACGUUCGGAAACGGACGCUAAUACCGCAUAUGUCCUACGGGAGAAAGCGGGGGAUCUUCGGACCCCGCGCCAUUAGAUGAGCCUAGGUCGGAUUAGCUAGUUGGUGAGGUAAUGGCUCACCAAGGCGACGAUCCGUAACUGGUCUGAGAGGAUGAUCAGUCACACUGGAACUGAGACACGGUCCAGACUCCUACGGAGGCAGCAGUGGGAAUAUUGGACAAUGGGCGAAAGCCUGAUCCAGCCAUGCCGCGUGUGUGAAGAAGGUCUUCGGAUUGUAAAGCACUUUAAGUUGGGAGGAAGGGUAGUAACCUAAUACGUUGCUACUUUGACGUUACCGACAGAAUAAGCACCGGCUAACUUCGUGCCAGCAGCCGCGGUAAU
rnacentral:rRNA from 1 species